rnacentral:rRNA from 1 species
UGCAGAAUCCCGUGAACCAUCGAGUCUUUGAACGCAAGUUGCGCCCGAGGGACCCUCCCGAGGGCACGCCUGCCUCAUGGGCGUUAGAAGCCCAUCCACGCUCGGUUGCCUGACUAACGGCAGAGAUGCGGACAUUGGCCCUCCGAGCCGCGAGGCGCGGUGGGCCCAAGUGUGCGGCCGUCGUACGUGGCCGGGAGCGGCGAGUGGUGGGCUACUGCGCACGUCACCCCGAGCCCCGUACCGACGCAGGGCCUUGUACGACCCCCUAACGACGAGCAAGCCGCUGCGGCUUCGGCUGUGCGGUGCCUUCGGACCGAUACCCCAGGUCAGGCGGGGCUACCCGCCGAGUUUAAGCAUAUAAAUAAGCGGAGGAGAAGAAACUUACAAGGAUUCCCCUAGUAACGGCGAGCGAACCGGGAGAUGCCCAGCCUUAGAAUCGCGACGGCACUGCUGUCCGA